rnacentral:lncRNA from 1 species
AGUUAGGGACGACAUCAAAAGAUCGAUGUAGGAUAAAAAACUUAAAUCAAAUAGUUUUGGGGUGGGGGGGGGUUAAAAUUCUGCAAGUUUUGUAUAUCUAAAAUCGAUUUUUACAUAUAUCCCUAUUGGUAAAUCAAUUUUUCCCAAAUUAAGUUAAGAGGGGGGGUGGGGGGGGUCAGUGGAAAAACUAUGUGAAUUAAGUUUUUUAUCCUACAUUGAACUUUUGAUGUCGUCCCUUAGUAU